rnacentral:rRNA from 1 species
GACGAACGCUGGCGGCGUGCUUAACACAUGCAAGUCGAACGGAAAGGCCCUGCUUCUGUGGGGUGCUCGAGUGGCGAACGGGUGAGUAGCACGUGAGUAACCUGCCCUUGACUUUGGGAUAACUUCAGGAAACUGGGGCUAAUACCGGAUAGGAGCUCCUGCUGCAUGGUGGGGGUUGGAAAGUUUCGGCGGUUGGGGAUGGACUCGCGGCUUAUCAGCUUGUUGGUGGGGUAGUGGCUUACCAAGGCUUUGACGGGUAGCCGGCCUGAGAGGGUGACCGGCCACAUUGGGACUGAGAUACGGCCCAGACUCCUACGGGAGGCAGCAGUGGGGAAUAUUGCACAAUGGGCGGAAGCCUGAUGCAGCAACGCCGCGUGCGGGAUGACGGCCUUCGGGUUGUAAACCGCUUUCGCCUGUGACGAAGCGUGAGUGACGGUAAUGGGUAAAGAAGCACCGGCUAACUACGUG